CUGUAUCUUUAAAUGCAAAUGAGCUGCUGCUCCCCGCCCCCUUUUCCAGAAUAGGGCUGUUCCUUUACAGCUCGUACCUGCUUAAAACAUC